rnacentral:misc_RNA from 1 species
UUUAGAGCGGCUAAGCCAAAUC